AGCUCAGUUUGGCUGGAUAUGAAAUUCUGGGUUGAAAGUUCUUUUCUUUAAGAAUGUUGAAUAUUGGCCCCCACUCUCUUCUGGCUUGUAGUGUUUCUGCCGAGAGAUCUGCUGUGAGUCUGAUGGGUUUCCCUUUGUGGGUGACCCGACCUUUCUCUCUGGCUGCCCUUAGUAUUUUCACCUUUAUUUCAACCCUAUUGAAUCUGACGAUUAUGUGCCUUGGGGUUGCUCUUCUUGCGGAAUAUCUUUGUGGUGUUCUCUGAAUUUCCUGCAAUUGAGUGUUGGCCUGUCUUUCUAGGUGGGGGAAAUUUUCUUGGAUGAUGUCCUGAAGAGUAUUUUCCAGCUUGGAUUCAUUCUCUUCGUCCCCUUCUGGUACACCUAUCAGACUAAUGGGAUUUUGUUUUCUGAGCUGGAGUUUUGCUCUCGUCACCCAUUCUGGAAUGCAACGGCACGAUCUCGGCUCACUGCAACCUUCGCCUCCCAGGUUCAAGGGAUUCUUCUACCUCAGCUUCUCGAAUAGGUGGGAUUCCAGCGUCUUGCUCUGUCACCCAGGGAGGAGGGCAGUGGCAUGGUCUCAGCUCACUGCAAUGUCCACCUCUCAGGUCCAAGCGAUCCUCCUGCCUCAGUGUCUGUAGUAGUUGGGACUACAGGUACGUGCCACCAUGCCGGGCUAAUUUUUGUAUUUUUAGUAGAGAUGGCAUUUCACCAUGUU
rnacentral:lncRNA from 13 species